rnacentral:sRNA from 1 species
AGCCAGGUGUGGUGGCAGGCACUUGUAAUUCCACCUACUUGGGAGGCUGAAGCAGGAGAAUCGUUUGAACCCAGGAGGCGGAGGUUGCAGUGAGCCGAGAUCAUGAUACUGCAGUCCAGCCUGGGCGACAGAAUGAGACUCCAUUCCGAAAAAUAAAAAAUAAAAGAGCCUAUUUUCUGUAUUCUUCAGUGACAAAAUCUGAGAUCACUUUCUAUUUCCUGGGCUGUUUGGGUGCUGGCCGUGUUGCAGAAUCAUGUGCUGGCACUGACAGCCCAAUCACCUGAUAUUGAACAUUUGAAUGAAGUGAGCCUCAAGCUCCCACUUAGUGACGUAGCUGUGAAGACGUUACAAAAUAUGAACCGGCAAUGGAUUCGGGCCACGGCCACGGCACUGGAGCGCUGCAGUGAGCUUCAGGGAAUUGGAUUGAAUGAAAAGUUUCUUUAUUGCUGUGAAAAGUGGAUCCAACUUUUGGAGAAGAUAGAAGAAGCACUCAAAGUGGAUGUGGCUAACAGCCUUCCUGAGCUCCUGGAGCAGCAGAAAACCUAUGAGAUGUUAGAAGCUGAAGUUUCUAU